GAGUGAACGCUGGCGGUAGGCCUAACACAUGCAAGCCGAACGGCAGCACAGUAAGAGCUUGCUCUUACGGGUGGCGAGUGGCGGACGGGUGAGGAAUACAUCGGAAUCUACUUUUUCGUGGGGGAUAACGUAGGGAAACUUACGCUAAUACCGCAUACGACCUACGGGUGAAAGCAGGGGAUCUUCGGACCUUGCGCGAUUGAAUGAGCCGAUGUCGGAUUAGCUAGUUGGCGGGGUAAAGGCCCACCAAGGCGACGAUCCGUAGCUGGUCUGAGAGGAUGAUCAGCCACACUGGAACUGAGACACGGUCCAGACUCCUACGGGAGGCAGCAGUGGGGAAUAUUGGACAAUGGGCGCAAGCCUGAUCCAGCCAUACCGCGUGGGUGAAGAAGGCCUUCGGGUUGUAAAGCCCUUUUGUUGGGAAAGAAAAGCAGCAGGUUAAUACCCCGCUGUUCUGACGGUACCCAAAGAAUAAGCACCGGCUAACUUCGUG
rnacentral:rRNA from 1 species